rnacentral:rRNA from 1 species
GCACAGUGCUCUGCUGAAAUAUUUUCACCCAUGUCUUUUGCGCACUUUUUGUUUCCUGGGCGAGUUUGCUCGCCACCAGGACCCCCAUAUGAACCUUUUUUGUUUUUGCACUCAGCGUCAGUACAAUAAUUUAAUCUAUUAAAACUUUCAACAACGGAUCUCUUGGUUCUGGCAUCCAUGAAAAACGCAGCCAAAUGCGAUACGUAGUGGGAAUUGCAGAAUUCAGUGAAUCAUCCAAUCUUUGAACCCACAUUGCGCCCUUUGGUAUUCCAAAGGGCAUGCCUGUUCCAGCGUCAUUUGUACCCUCAAGCUUUGCUUGGUGUUGGGCGUCUUAUUGUCUCUCCCUCUCGGGGAGACUCGACUUAAAACAAGUUGCAACCGGGCUCCUGGUUUCCGAGCACAUCACACAUUUGCCCUUGCAAUCAGCCAAGGGCGGGAUCAAAGAAUCCUUUUUCUCUCAGAUUUUGACCCCCGACAGGAAGGAUACCCGAUGAACUCAAGCAUAUCAUAAGCGGAAGAAACCUUGGCCGGGCGAG